CACUCUGGAGACAUCCGGGUAAUCCGGGGGCCGAAGGUGCAAGGGGCAAAGACGCCGAAUCUCUCAGGCAAAAGGACAGAGCA
rnacentral:ncRNA from 1 species